rnacentral:rRNA from 1 species
AGCAGCCGCGGUAAUUCCAGCUCCAAUAGCGUAUAUUAAAGUUGUUGCAGUUAAAAAGCUCGUAGUUGAAUUUCGGGAUCAAAUUGUCGGUCGUGCCUCGGUACGUACUGGUAUUAUUGGUUCCUCCCUUCUGACGAACCACGAUGUCAUUAAUUUGGUGUCAUGGGAAAUCAGGACUGUUACUUUGAAAAAUUAGAGUGUUUAAAGCAGGCUCGCGCUUGAAUACAUUAGCAUGGAAUAAUGAAAUAGGACGUUUGAUUCUAUUUUGUUGGUUUCUAGGAUCGACGUAAUGAUUAAUAGGGAUAGUUGGGGGCGAUUAGUAUUCAAUUGUCAGAGGUGAAAUUCUUGGAUUUAUUGAAGACUAACUACUGCGAAAGCAUUUGCCAAGGAUGUUUUCAUUAAUCAAGAACGAAAGUUAGGGGAUCGAAGACGAUCAGAUACCGUCGUAGUCUUAACCAUAAACUAUGCCGACUGGGGAUCGGAUGAUGUUAAUUUUUUAAUGACUCAUUCGGCGCCUUAC